rnacentral:rRNA from 1 species
AUUGAACGCUGGCGGCAGGCUUAACACAUGCAAGUCGAGCGGGGUGAUGGUGCUUGCACUAUCACUUAGCGGCGGACGGGUGAGUAAUGCUUAGGAAUCUGCCUAUUAGUGGGGGACAACAUCUCGAAAGGGAUGCUAAUACCGCAUACGACCUACGGGAGAAAGCAGGGGAUCACUUGUGACCUUGCGCUAAUAGAUGAGCCUAAGUCGGAUUAGCUAGUUGGUGGGGUAAAGGCCUACCAAGGCGACGAUCUGUAGCGGGUCUGAGAGGAUGAUCCGCCACACUGGGACUGAGACCCGGCCCAGACUCCGACGGGAGGCAGCAGUGGGGAAUAUUGGAGAAUGGUGGGAACCCUGAUCCAGCAAUGCCGCGUGUGUGAAGAAGGCCUUAUGGUUGUAAAGCACUUUAAGCGAGGAGGAGGCUCUUUUGGUUAAUACCCAAGAUGAGUGGACGUUACUCGCGGAAUAAGCACCGGCUAACUCUGUGCCAGCCGCCGCCGUAA